AGCAGAGCGGCGCAGUGGAAGCUUGAUGGUCACAUAAUCCAGAGGUCCGUGGAUCGAAACUACGCUCUGCUA
rnacentral:tRNA from 1 species